CACGAACUUACGAGCUCCUGGAGGUCUCAGCGGUGUUCGCCUGUUUGCGUAUCCGAUUUUAGUUCCAUGCGUUCACGGGCAAACACUGCUGUUCGUGCGUAAGAUGGCCGUGAACACGUGUAAAGUCCCGAAAUGGCGGCCAUCUAACCUGAGCACAAAGGGAUUCGUGUGAAACCAUGCUAACGGCUCCAAAAGCACUGGGAGGUAAAAUACCACUUAACUGUUCCCCUGGGUGGUCCGAUGUUCGGUAUUUUGAGCUGUAUUCUCC